GACGUAGGGGACGAGCGUUGUCCGGAUUCAUUGGGCGUAAAGCGCGCGUAGGCGGUUCGGUAAGUCGGGUGUGAAAACUCGAGGCUCAACCUCGAGCCUGCAUUCGAUACUGGGCGGCUAGAGUCUGGUAGGGGGAUCUGGAAUUCCUGGUGUAGCGGUGGAAUGCGCAGAUAUCAGGAGGAACACCGGUGGCGAAGGCGGGAUCCUGGGCCGUUGCUGACGCUGAGGCGCGACAGCGUGGGGAGCAAACAGG
rnacentral:rRNA from 1 species